rnacentral:rRNA from 1 species
GACGAACGCUGGCGGCGUGCUUAACACAUGCAAGUCGAACGGAAAGGCCCUGCUUUUGUGGGGUGCUCGGGUGGCGAACGGGUGAGUAACACGUGAGUAACCUGCCCUUGACUUUGGGAUAACUUCAGGAAACUGGGGCUAAUACCGGAUAGGAGCUCCUGCUGCAUGGUGGGGGUUGGAAAGUUUCGGCGGUUGGGGAUGGACUCGCGGCUUAUCAGCUUGUUGGUGGGGUAGUGGCUUACCAAGGCUUUGACGGGUAGCCGGCCUGAGAGGGUGACCGGCCACAUUGGGACUGAGAUACGGCCCAGGCUCCUACGGGAGGCAGCAGUGGGGAAUAUUGCACAAUGGGCGGAAGCCUGAUGCAGCAACGCCGCGUGCGGGAUGACGGCCUUCGGGUUGUAAACCGCUUUCGCCUGUGACGAAGCGUGAGUGACGGUAAUGGGUAAAGAAGCACCGGCUAACUACGUG